AAAUUGAAGAGUUUGAUCAUGGCUCAGAUUGAACGCUGGCGGCAGGCUUAACACAUGCAAGUCGAGCGGUAGCACAGAGAGCUUGCUCUCGGGUGACGAGCGGCGGACGGGUGAGUAAUGUCUGGGAAACUGCCUGAUGGAGGGGGAUAACUACUGGAAACGGUAGCUAAUAC
rnacentral:rRNA from 1 species